GUAUGUAUACGCUUGAGCUGGGGGAGCUCAUGACUGGUAGUCAUGAGUUGCGGUUCGACCCCGUUUAUCUCCACCA
rnacentral:tRNA from 1 species